UGGAGUCUGAUGACCAAGGGCAGGAAGCAUCCAGCACGGGACAAAGAAGAAAGCCAGAAGACUCAGCAAGCCAGCUCAUCUCACUUUCUUCUGCCUACUUUGUUGUAGCUGAGCUGGCAGCCAGUUGGAUGGUGCACACUCACAUUGAGGAUUGGGAGGCUGCUGUGUAUGGAUAAGAUACCUGCUACAGCCAGCUUGACACCAUGAGAAGGACAAGAGAAUUGCAGAGACACAUAUCCAGGAUUCUGAUCCAGUUGAGGCACUGAAAUAAUCUAGAACCACCUUCAAAUUUCUUAUAAAGAGAGCUAUGCUAUUAGGAUUUAAUUAAAUGGAUGCCAACAGCAAGUAAACCAUCUCCAAAGAUGCCAUGAAGCUCUCCUAAUUGCAGGAAAAUAUCAGAGGCACUUGAUUUGAGUCUUUCAAGUACGGAAAUAACAAAUUCAGUCUCAACAGACCUAUAGUGAAUGAGAAUGAUUGUCACAUAAUGUGUAGAGAAAAUGGAAGAAUCAAAGGCAAGGGAAACCUGUACAGUGGAGACACAAAGGGUCACUGGCAGAUUUCAAAUGAUCCAAGACAUCCUCAAGGAAGAUUUACCACAAGUUACUUUAUCAUAGCUUUGAGUGGCAUUUUAAUAUCAUAUUUUAAAAGAAAGAAAACAAUAGAAAUGUAUUAAAAUAUCUUCUCAAGAAUCCUUCCAAACCACAAGGAAAAUCACCAGGCCAAAAGUGAGGUUUGAAGUCUGGACAUGUACUGGUUUUCUCUAGCAAUCGACUCUCAAUUUUUGGACAUUGAGAUCUGCUGGUUGGAGAUCUUAGUGCCCAAGGAAGAAUGCUUGCAAAAGGAGAUGGAACAGUGUUUCUGUUGCAUUGGCCACUGAGAAUAUCUGGUUAUUUUGAAUUUGUCACAGUCUGCAGCUAAAAGGCGAACAGGAAAAGAAGAGAGAGCGGUAAUUUGAAUGAUAGCAGAUUUCACAUCAGGAACCAAUGAAGCUAGAUAAGAAUGCAACAUCUUUGAUGUCUAAAAGAAACAAAAAGCCAACCUUGAAUUCUUUAUUUAGUGAAGUUACCCUUCAGAAAUGACGGCAAAAUAAAGAUGUUUUCCAAUAAAAGACAACUAUGAGAAUUCUUCACCAGCAGUCCUAUUGUAUCAGAACAGCCAAAAGAAGUUUGUCAGCCUACAGGGAAUUAUAUCAAAGGGAAGACUUGACCUUGAAAAUGAAUGAGGAAUAUAAGAAAUUGAUAUUAUCUGGGAAUUCACUGAAUGUCUAUCUAUCAUGUAUGCUGUUGGAGGCACCUGUCUUUCAGUUCAGAGGUUAUGGAUGUAUCUAUCAUCAGUAUUUCGGGAAGUCAGGGACCCGGAACAGAGGGACUUAAUGAAGCUGUGGCAGAAGAAAAAAUUAUGAAGAUUUCAUGGACAUUUAUUAGUUCCCCAAAUUAAUACUUUUAUAAUUUCUUACA
rnacentral:lncRNA from 1 species